rnacentral:rRNA from 1 species
UACAGAGGGUGCAAGCGUUAAUCGGAUUUACUGGGCGUAAAGCGCGCGUAGGUGGCCAAUUAAGUCAAAUGUGAAAUCCCCGAGCUUAACUUGGGAAUUGCAUUCGAUACUGGGAAGCUAGAGUAUGGGAGAGGAUGGUAGAAUUCCAGGUGUAGCGGUGAAAUGCGUAGAGAUCUGGAGGAAUACCGAUGGCGAAGGCAGCCAUCUGGCCUAAUACUGACGCUGAGGUACGAAAGCAUGGGGAGCAAACAGG